rnacentral:rRNA from 1 species
GACGAACGCUGGCGGCGUGCCUAAUACAUGCAAGUAGAACGCACAGUUUAUACCGUAGCUUGCUACACCAUAGACUGUGAGUUGCGAACGGGUGGGUAACGCGUAGGUAACCUGCCUGGUAGCGGGGGAUAACUAUUGGAAACGAUAGCUAAUACCGCAUAAUAUUAAUUAUUGCAUGAUAAUUAAUUGAAAGGUGCAAUUGCACCACUACCAGAUGGACCUGCGUUGUAUUAGCUAGUAGGUGAGGUAACGGCUCACCUAGGCGACGAUACAUAGCCGACCUGAGAGGGUGAUCGGCCACACUGGGACUGAGACACGGCCCAGACUCCUACGGGAGGCAGCAGUAGGGAAUCUUCGGCAAUGGACGAAAGUCUGACCGAGCAACGCCGCGUGAGUGAAGAAGGUUUUCGGAUCGUAAAGCUCUGUUGUAAGAGAAGAACGGGUGUGAGAGUGGAAAGUUCACACUGUGACGGUAUCUUACCAGAAAGGGACGGCUAACUACGUG